AUGGAAACCCCCGAGCAAGGAAUUUUUUAUGUCACUGAAAACUCUCUUUUCCUCUUGUCUCUUUUCUUCCAUCCCCUUCUCCUCCACUCCCAGAUCCAUCUCUCCUCUCCCUCCUUCUCCUCACUCCCAGAUCCAUCUCUCCUCUCCCUCCUUCUCCUCACUCCCAGAUCCAUCACCCUCUCCCUCCUUCCUCUUCUCCUCACUCCCAGAUCCAUCACCCUCUCCCUCCUUCUCCUCACUCCCAGAUCCAUCACCCUCUCCCUCCAUCCCCGUCUCCUUCUCCUCACUCCCAGAUCCAUCACCCUCUCCCUCCAUCCCCGUCUCCUUCUCCUCACUCCCAGAUCCAUCACCCUCUCCCUCCAUCCCCGUCUCCUUCUCCUCACUCCCAGAUCCAUCACCCUCUCCUGCCAUCCUCUUCUCCUUCUCCUCCACUCCCAGAUCCAUCACCCUCUCCCUCCAUCCCCGUCUCCUCACUCCCAGAUCCAUCACCCUCUCCCUCCAUCCCGUCUCCUCACUCCCAGAUCCAUCACCCUCACCCUCCAUCCCGUCUCCUCACUCCCAGAUCCAUCACCCUCUCCCUCCAUCCCGUCUCCUCACUCCCAGAUCCAUCACCCUCUCCCUCCAUCCCAUUCUCCUCACUCCCAGAUCCAUCACCCUCUCCCUGCAUCCCCUCACUCCCAGAUCCAUCACCCUCUCCCUCCAUCCCGUCUCCUCACUCCCAGAUCCAUCACCCUCUCCCUCCAUCCCGUCUCCUCACUCCCAGAUCCAUCACCCUCUCCCUCCAUCCCCGUCUCCUCACUCCCAGAUCCAUCACCCUCUCCCUCCAUCCCGUCUCCUCACUCCCAGAUCCAUCACCCUCUCCCUCCUUCUCCUCACUCCCAGAUCCAUCACCCUCUCCCUCCAUCCUCUUCUCCUUCUCCUCCACUCCCAGAUCCAUCACCCUCUCCCUCGAUCCCCGUCUCCUCACUCCCAGAUCCAUCACCCUCUCCCUCCAUCCUCUUCUCCUUCUCCUCCACUCCCAGAUCCAUCACCCUCUCCCUCCAUCCCCGUCUCCUCACUCCCAGAUCCAUCACCCUCUCCCUCCAUCCCAUCUCCUCACUCCCAGAUCCAUCACCCUCUCCCUCCAUCCCGUCUCCUCACUCCCAGAUCCAUCACCCUCUCCCUCCAUCCCGUCUCCUCACUCCCAGAUCCAUCACCCUCUCCCUCCAUCCCCUUCUCCUCACUCCCAGAUCCAUCACCCUCUCCCUCCUUCUCCUCACUCCCAGAUCCAUCACCCUCUCCCUCCAUCCUCUUCUCCUUCUCCUCCACUCCCAGAUCCAUCACCCUCUCCCUCCAUCCCCGUCUCCUCACUCCCAGAUCCAUCACCCUCUCCCUCCAUCCCCGUCUCCUCACUCCCAGAUCCAUCACUCUCUCCCUCCAUCCCUGUCUCCUUUUCCUCACUCCCAGAUCCAUCCCCCUCUCCCUCCAUCCCCUUCUCCUUCUCCUCAAUCCCCAGAUCCAUCCCCCUCCCCCUCCCUCCAUCCCCUUCUCCUUCUCCUCCACUCCCAGAUCCAUCACCCUCUCCCUCCAUCCCUGUCUCCUCACUCAAAGAUCCAUCACCCUCUCCCUCCAUCCCUGUCUCCUUCUCCUCACUCCCAGAUCCAUCACCCUCUCCCUCCAUCCCCGUCUCCUCCACUCCCAGAUCCAUCACCCUCUCCCUCCAUCCCUGUCUCCUUCUCCACUCCGAGAUCCAUCACCCUCUCCCUCCAUCCCUGUCUCCUUCUCCACUCCCAGAUCCAUCACCCUCUCCCUCCAUCCCCUUCUCCUCCUCCACUCCCAGAUCCAUCACCCUCUCCCUCCAUCCCUGUCUCCACUCCGAGAUCCAUCACCCUCUCCCUCCAUCCCUGUCUCCUUCUCCACUCCCAGAUCCAUCCCCCUCUCCCUCCAUCCCCUUCUCCUCCUCCACUCCCAGAUCCAUCACCCUCUCCCUCCAUCCUCUUCUCCUUCUCCUCACUCCCAGAUCCAUCACCCUCUCCCUCCAUCCCCUUCUCCUCCUCACUCCCAGAUCCAUCACCCUCUCCCUCCAUCCUGUGUCCUGCUCCACUCCCAGAUCCAUCUCUCCCCUCCCUCCGUCUCCUCCUCCACUCCCCGAUCCAUCUCUCCUCUCCCUCCAUUCCGUCUCCUCCUCCACUCCCCGAUCCAUCUCUCCCCUCCCUCCGUCUCCUCCUCCACUCCCCGAUCCAUCUCUCCUCUCCCUCCAUCCCGUCUCCUCCUCCACUCCCAGAUCCAUCUCUCCCCUCCCUCCGUCUCCUCCUGCACUCCCAGAUCCAUCUCUCCUCUCCCUCCAUUCCGUCUCCUCCUCCACUCCCCGAUCCAUCUCUCCUCUCCCUCCAUCCCGUCUCCUCCUCCACUCCCCGAUCCAUCUCUCCCCUCCCUCCGUCUCCUCCUCCACUCCCCGAUCCAUCUCUCCUCUCCCUCCAUCCCGUCUCCUCCUCCACUCCCAGAUCCAUCUCUCCCCUCCCUCCGUCUCCUCCUGCACUCCCAGAUCCAUCUCUCCUCUCCCUCCAUCCCGUCUCCUCCCUCCACUCCCCGAUCCAUCUCUCCUCUCCCUCCAUCCCGUCUCCUCCUCCACUCCCAGAUCCAUCUCUCCCCUCCCUCCGUCUCCUCCUCCACUCCCAGAUCCAUCUCUCCCCUCCCUCCGUCUCCUCCUCCACUCCCAGAUCCAUCUCUCCUCUCCCUCCAUCCCGUCUCCUCCUCCACUCCCAGAUCCAUCUCUCCUCUCCCUCCAUCCCGUCUCCUCCUCCACUCCCAGAUCCAUCUCUCCUCUCCCUCCAUCCCGUCUCCUCCUCCACUCCCAGAUCCAUCUCUCCCCUCCCUCCGUCUCCUCCUCCACUCCCCGAUCCAUCUCUCCUCUCCCUCCAUCCCGUCUCCUCCUCCACUCCCAGAUCCAUCUCUCCCCUCCCUCCGUCUCCUCCUCCACUCCCAGAUCCAUCACCCUCUCCCUCCAUCCUGUCUCCUCCUGCACUCCCAGAUCCAUCUCUCCUCUCCCUCCAUUCCGUCUCCUCCUCCACUCCCCGAUCCAUCUCUCCUCUCCCUCCAUCCCGUCUCCUCCUCCACUCCCCGAUCCAUCUCUCCCCUCCCUCCGUCUCCUCCUCCACUCCCCGAUCCAUCUCUCCUCUCCCUCCAUCCCGUCUCCUCCUCCACUCCCAGAUCCAUCUCUCCCCUCCCUCCGUCUCCUCCUGCACUCCCAGAUCCAUCUCUCCUCUCCCUCCAUCCCGUCUCCUCCUCCACUCCCCGAUCCAUCUCUCCUCUCCCUCCAUCCCGUCUCCUCCUCCACUCCCAGAUCCAUCUCUCCCCUCCCUCCGUCUCCUCCUCCACUCCCAGAUCCAUCUCUCCCCUCCCUCCGUCUCCUCCUCCACUCCCAGAUCCAUCUCUCCUCUCCCUCCAUCCCGUCUCCUCCUCCACUCCCAGAUCCAUCUCUCCCCUCCCUCCGUCUCCUCCUCCACUCCCAGAUCCAUCUCUCCUCUCCCUCCAUCCCGUCUCCUCCUCCACUCCCAGAUCCAUCUCUCCUCUCCCUCCAUCCCGUCUCCUCCUCCACUCCCAGAUCCAUCUCUCCUCUCCCUCCAUCCCGUCUCCUCCUCCACUCCCAGAUCCAUCUCUCCCCUCCCUCCGUCUCCUCCUCCACUCCCCGAUCCAUCUCUCCUCUCCCUCCAUCCCGUCUCCUCCUCCACUCCCAGAUCCAUCUCUCCCCUCCCUCCGUCUCCUCCUCCACUCCCAGAUCCAUCACCCUCUCCCUCCAUCCUGUCUCCUCCUCCACUCCCAGAUCCAUCUCUCCUCUCCCUCCAUUCCGUCUCCUCCUCCACUCCCAGAUCCAUCUCUCCCCUCCCUCCGUCUCCUCCUCCACUCCCCGAUCCAUCUCUCCUCUCCCUCCAUCCCGUCUCCUCCUCCACUCCCAGAUCCAUCUCUCCCCUCCCUCCAUCCCGUCUCCUCCUCCACUCCCCGAUCCAUCUCUCCUCUCCCUCCAUCCCGUCUCCUCCUCCACUCCCAGAUCCAUCUCUCCCCUCCCUCCAUCCCGUCUCCUCCUCCACUCCCAGAUCCAUCUCUCCCCUCCCUCCUCCUCCUCCACUCCCAGAUCCAUCUCUCCCAUCCCGUCUCCUCCUCCACUCCCAGAUCCAUCUCUCCCCUCCCUCCAUCCCGUCUCCUCCUCCACUCCCAGAUCCAUCUCUCCCCUCCCUCCUCCUCCUCCACUCCCAGAUCCAUCUCUCCCCUCCCUCCAUCCCGUCUCCUCCUCCACUCCCAGAUCCAUCUCUCCUCUCCCUCCAUCCCGUCUCCUCCUCCACUCCCAGAUCCAUCUCUCCUCUCCCUCCAUCCCGUCUCCUCCUCCACUCCCAGAUCCAUCUCUCCCCUCCCUCCUCCUCCUCCACUCCCAGAUCCAUCUCUCCCCUCCCUCCAUCCCGUCUCCUCCUCCACUCCCAGAUCCAUCUCUCCUCUCCCUCCAUCCCGUCUCCUCCUCCACUCCCAGAUCCAUCUCUCCUCUCCCUCCAUCCCGUCUCCUCCUCCACUCCCAGAUCCAUCUCUCCCCUCCCUCCUCCUCCUCCACUCCCAGAUCCAUCUCUCCCCUCCCUCCGUCUCCUCCUCCACUCCCAGAUCCAUCUCUCCCCUCCCUCCGUCUCCUCCUCCACUCCCAGAUCCAUCUCUCCCCUCCCUCCGUCUCCUCCUCCACUCCCAGAUCCAUCUCUCCCCUCCGUCUCCUCCUCCACUCCCAGAUCCAUCUCUCCCCUCCCUCCAUCCCGUCUCCUCCUCCACUCCCAGAUCCAUCUCUCCUCUCCCUCCAUCCCGUCUCCUCCUCCACUCCCAGAUCCAUCUCUCCUCUCCCUCCAUCCCGUCUCCUCCUCCACUCCCAGAUCCAUCUCUCCUCUCCCUCCAUCCCGUCUCCUCCUCCACUCCCAGAUCCAUCUCUCCCCUCCCGUCUCCUCCUCCACUCCCAGAUCCAUCUCUCCCCUCCCUCCUCCUCCUCCACUCCCAGAUCCAUCUCUCCCCUCCCUCCGUCUCCUCCUCCACUCCCAGAUCCAUCUCUCCUCUCCCUCCAUCCCGUCUCCUCCUCCACUCCCAGAUCCAUCUCUCCUCUCCCUCCAUCCCGUCUCCUCCUCCACUCCCAGAUCCAUCUCUCCUCUCCCUCCAUCCCGUCUCCUCCUCCACUCCCAGAUCCAUCUCUCCCCUCCCUCCAUCCCGUCUCCUCCUCCACUCCCAGAUCCAUCUCUCCUCUCCCUCCAUCCCGUCUCCUCCUCCACUCCCAGAUCCAACUCUCCCCUCCCGUCUCCUCCUCCACUCCCAGAUCCAUCUCUCCCCUCCCUCCUCCUCCUCCACUCCCAGAUCCAUCUCUCCCCUCCCUCCGUCUCCUCCUCCACUCCCAGAUCCAUCUCUCCUCUCCCUCCAUCCCGUCUCCUCCUCCACUCCCAGAUCCAUCUCUCCUCUCCAUCCCGUCUCCUCCUCCACUCCCAGAUCCAUCUCUCCCCUCCCUCCGUCUCCUCCUCCACUCCCAGAUCCAUCUCUCCUCUCCCUCCCUCCGUCUCCUCCUCCACUCCCAGAUCCAUCUCUCCCCUCCCUCCGUCUCCUCCUCCACUCCCAGAUCCUUCUCUCCUCUCCCUCCCUCCGUCUCCUCCUCCACUCCCAGAUCCAUCUCUCCUCUCCCUCCAUCCCCUCCUCCUCCACUCCCAGAUCCAUCUCUCCCCUCCCCCCGUCUCCUCCUCCACUCCCAGAUCCAUCUCUCCCCUCCCCCGUCUCCUCCUCCACUCCCAGAUCCAUCUCUCCCCUCCCUCCGUCUCCUCCUCCACUCCCAGAUCCAUCUCUCCCCUCCCUCCGUCUCCUCCUCCACUCCCAGAUCCAUCUCUCCCCUCCCUCCGUCUCCUCCUCCACUCCCAGAUCCAUCUCUCCCCUCCCUCCCUCCGUCUCCUCCUCCACUCCCAGAUCCAUCUCUCCCCUCCCUCCGUCUCCUCCUCCACUCCCAGAUCCAUCUCUCCCCUGCCUCCGUCUCCUCCUCCACUCCCAGAUCCAUCUCUCCCCUCCCUCCGUCUCCUCCUCCACUCCCAGAUCCAUCUCUCCCCUCCCUCCGUCUCCUCCUCCACUCCCAGAUCCAUCUCUCCCCUCCCUCCGUCUCCUCCUCCACUCCCAGAUCCAUCUCUCCCCUCCCUCCGUCUCCUCCUCCACUCCCAGAUCCAUCUCUCCCCUCCCUCCGUCUCCUCCUCCACUCCCAGAUCCAUCUCUCCCCUCCCUCCGUCUCCUCCUCCACUCCCAGAUCCAUCUCUCCCCUCCCUCCCUCCUCCUCCUCCACUCCCAGAUCCAUCUCUCCCCUCCCUCCCUCCUCCUCCUCCACUCCCAGAUCCAUCUCUCCCCUCCCUCCCUCCUCCUCCUCCACUCCCAGAUCCAUCUCUCCCCUCCCUCCCUCCGUCUCCUCCUCCACUCCCAGAUCCAUCUCUCCCCUCCCUCCGUCUCCUCCUCCACUCCCAGAUCCAUCUCUCCCCUCCCUCCGUCUCCUCCUCCACUCCCAGAUCCAUCUCUCCCCUCCCUCCGUCUCCUCCUCCACUCCCAGAUCCAUCUCUCCCCUCCCUCCGUCUCCUCCUCCACUCCCAGAUCCAUCUCUCCCCUCCCUCCCUCCUCCUCCUCCACUCCCAGAUCCAUCUCUCCCCUCCCUCCCUCCUCCUCCUCCACUCCCAGAUCCAUCUCUCCCCUCCGUCUCCUCCUCCACUCCCAGAUCCA
ensembl:lncRNA